AUCCACAAUGACUGUGAGACAAUAGAACUCAUUAAAUGAUAAGAUAUAAUCAAAGAUUAUUUUAAAGCCAACCUGAGUAACAUACUAAAACCGUAAGUGGUUUUUUCUGUUUAUUUUUUAUUUUUCCUUUUUUGGAGGAAUUGAGCUUUGAAUUCAGGGCUUGAAGUUUGCUACAUCUGUGGUCUACCACUUUACACCUUCCAGACCUGAAUGACACAGUCUUUAAAAAAAUAGUGCUCUGUACAUGCACCAGGAGGUUCAAUCUCCAUUACUGAGAGCAAA